GAUGAACGCUAGCUACAGGCUUAACACAUGCAAGUCGAGGGGCAGCAUGGUCUUAGCUUGCUAAGGCCGAUGGCGACCGGCGCACGGGUGAGUAACACGUAUCCAACCUGCCGUCUACUCUUGGACAGCCUUCUGAAAGGAAGAUUAAUACAAGAUGGCAUCAUGAGUCCACAUGUUCACAUGAUUAAAGGUAUUCCGGUAGACGAUGGGGAUGCGUUCCAUUAGAUAGUAGGCGGGGUAACGGCCCACCUAGUCUUCGAUGGAUAGGGGUUCUGAGAGGAAGGUCCCCCACAUUGGAACUGAGACACGGUCCAAACUCCUACGGGAGGCAGCAGUGAGGAAUAUUGGUCAAUGGGCGAGAGCCUGAACCAGCCAAGUAGCGUGAAGGAUGACUGCCCUAUGGGUUGUAAACUUCUUUUAUAAAGGAAUAAAGUCGGGUAUGCAUACCCGUUUGCAUGUACUUUAUGAAUAAGGAUCGGCUAACUCCGUGCCAGCAGCCGCGGUAAUACGGAGGAUCCGAGCGUUAUCCGGAUUUAUUGGGUUUAAAGGGAGCGUAGAUGGAUGUUUAAGUCAGUUGUGAAAGUUUGCGGCUCAACCGUAAAAUUGCAGCUGAUACUGGAUAUCUUGAGUGCAGUUGAGGCAGGCGGAAUUCGUGGUGUAGCGGUGAAAUGCUUAGAUAUCACGAAGAACUCCGAUUGCGAAGGCGGCCUGCUAAGCUGCAACUGACAUUGAGGCUCGAAAGUGUGGGUAUCAAACAGGAUUAGAUACCCUGGUAGUCCACACGGUAAACGAUGAAUACUCGCUGUUUGCGAUAUACUGCAAGCGGCCAAGCGAAAGCGUUAAGUAUUCCACCUGGGGAGUACGCCGGCAACGGUGAAACUCAAAGGAAUUGACGGGGGCCCGCACAAGCGGAGGAACAUGUGGUUUAAUUCGAUGAUACGCGAGGAACCUUACCCGGGCUUAAAUUGCAGAUGAAUUACGGUGAAAGCCGUAAGCCGCAAGGCAUCUGUGAAGGUGCUGCAUGGUUGUCGUCAGCUCGUGCCGUGAGGUGUCGGCUUAAGUGCCAUAACGAGCGCAACCCUUGUUGUCAGUUACUAACAGGUUCCGCUGAGGACUCUGACAAGACUGCCAUCGUAAGAUGUGAGGAAGGUGGGGAUGACGUCAAAUCAGCACGGCCCUUACGUCCGGGGCUACACACGUGUUACAAUGGGGGGUACAGAGGGCCGCUACCACGCGAGUGGAUGCCAAUCCCCAAAACCUCUCUCAGUUCGGACUGGAGUCUGCAACCCGACUCCACGAAGCUGGAUUCGCUAGUAAUCGCGCAUCAGCCACGGCGCGGUGAAUACGUUCCCGGGCCUUGUACACACCGCCCGUCAAGCCAUGGGAGCCGGGGGUACCUGAAGUGCGUAACCGCGAGGAGCGCCCUAGGGUAAAACUGGUGACUGGGGCU
rnacentral:rRNA from 1 species